rnacentral:rRNA from 1 species
AUUGAACGCUGGCGGCAGGCUUAACACAUGCAAGUCGAGCGGAGACUUCGGUCUUAGCGGCGAACGGGUGAGGAAUGCCUGGGAAUCUGCCUGGUAGUGGGGGAUAACGUUCCGAAAGGAACGCUAAUACCGCAUACGUCCUACGGGAGAAAGCAGGGGACCUUCGGGCCUUGCGCUAUCAGAUGAGCCCAGGUCGGAUUAGCUAGUAGGUGAGGUAAAGGCUCACCUAGGCGACGAUCCGUAGCUGGUCUGAGAGGAUGAUCAGCCACACUGGAACUGAGACACGGUCCAGACUCCACGGGAGGCAGCAGUGGGGAAUAUUGGACAAUGGGCGAAAGCCUGAUCCAGCCAUGCCGCGUGUGUGAAGAAAGGGCCCUUCGGGUUGUUAAAGGCACUUUAAAGCGGGAGGAAGUACGUUGAGGCU